GACGAACGCUGACGGUGUGCUUUAGACAUGCAAGUCGAGCGAGAAAGCCCUUCGGGGUUAGUAAAGCGGCGAACGGGUGAGUAACACGUGGGCAAUCUGCCCCUCGCAGGGGGACAACCGGGGGAAACUCCGGCUAAUACCCCGUAAGCUAUGUGGAUCGCAUGGUUCACAUAGGAAAGGUAGCUUCGGCCAUCCGGCGAGGGAUGAGCCCGCGGUACAUUAGCUAGUUGGUGGGGUAACGGCCUACCAAGGCGGCGAUGUAUAGCUGGUCUGAGAGGAUGAUCAGCCACACUGGGACUGAGACACGGCCCAGACUCCUACGGGAGGCAGCAGUGGGGAAUCUUGCGCAAUGGGCGAAAACCUGACGCAGCGACGCCGCGUGAGGGAUGACGGCC
rnacentral:rRNA from 1 species